UACGUAGGUGGCAAGCGUUAUCCGGGUUUACUGGGUGUAAAGGGCGUGUAGGCGGGAAAGCAAGUCAGAUGUGAAAACCACGGGCUCAACCUGUGGCCUGCAUUUGAAACUGUUUUUCUUGAGUACUGGAGAGGCAGACGGAAUUCCUCGUGUAGCGGUGAAAUGCGUAGAUAUAAGGAGGAACACCAGUGGCGAAGGCGGUCUGCUGGACAGCAACUGACGCUGAGGCGCGAAAGCGUGGGGAGCAAACAGG
rnacentral:rRNA from 1 species